CGAAUGCUGACAUAAGUAACGAUAAAGCGGGUGAAAAGCCCGCUCGCCGGAAGACCAAGGGUUCCUGUCCAACGUUAAUCGGGGCAGGGUGAGUCGACCCCUAAGGCGAGGCCGAAAGGCGUAGUCGAUGGGAAACAGGUUAAUAUUCCUGUACUUGGUGUUACUGCGAAGGGGGGACGGAGAAGGCUAUGUUGGCCGGGCGACGGUUGUCCCGGUUUAAGCGUGUAGGCUGGUUUUCCAGGCAAAUCCGGAAAAUCAAGGCUGAGGCGUGAUGACGAGGCACUACGGUGCUGAAGCAACAAAUGCCCUGCUUCCAGGAAAAGCCUCUAAGCAUCAGGUAACAUCAAAUCGUACCCCAAACCGACACAGGUGGUCAGGUAGAGAAUACCAAGGCGCUUGAGAGAACUCGGGUGAAGGAACUAGGCAAAAUGGUGCCGUAACUUCGGGAGAAGGCACGCUGAUAUGUAGGUGAAGUCCCUUGCGGAUGGAGCUGAAAUCAGUCGAAGAUACCAGCUGGCUGCAACUGUUUAUUAAAAACACAGCACUGUGCAAACACGAAAGUGGACGUAUACGGUGUGACGCCUGCCC
rnacentral:rRNA from 1 species